UACGAAGGGUGCAAACGUUGCUCGGAAUCAUUGGGCGUAAAGCGCACGUAGGCGGCUUCGCAAGUCGGAUGUGAAAUCCCGUGGCUCAACCAUGGACGUGCAUCCGAAACUGCGAGGCUUGAGUAUGGAAGAGGGUCGCGGAAUUCCCGGUGUAGAGGUGAAAUUCGUAGAUAUCGGGAGGAACACCAGUGGCGAAGGCGGCGACCUGGGCCAAUACUGACGCUGAGGUGCGAAAGCGUGGGGAGCGAACAGG
rnacentral:rRNA from 1 species